AAAAACAAAGCAAAAUAGUUACUCCUUAACUAAAUCCAGGUAAGAAAUAUUGAUACAGGUGGCUUUCUGUAAGUGCCGCUGUGCUUAGAUUUAGCAAUGGAUGUGUCCUUUUUUGCUCUGGGGCAGGAAGAACUUGGUUUUACCACAACACUAACUACAAUGCAAAUUAAACUAACAGAUAUUUGAUUCUUUAUAAAAAUAAGAAAUUUAAGAUAAAACAUGUCAUUCCAUUGGCUACCCUGUGGAUUGGUGAUGAAUUGGACGCAUUCAGGUCAGACAACACUGCUGCUUCCAAGUCCAUUUACCUAUACUGGCCGAUGGGAUAUGUUGUUGCCACCUUUCGUUCCAUGGAACAGACCAUUUGGUGGUAUUUCUUUCUACAAAGAUCCAUUCGUGAAGCCAAGAAACACAACAAAAUGCAACUUCCCAUGCAGAUAUUCACUGAGAACAUUGCAUGCUGUGACACUGUAUGUGAAUACAAAACCAAAACUAAUAUUCCAUGUUCAUGACUAGGAGAGAGACAGUUUGUAAAGUAAUGGAAGAUGGAGAGAUAAGAAGAGCAUGGAUGGGGAGAGCGGGACAAAGGGAGAGAGGGACAGAGG